UAUAUAUGCACAACUAAGUCUGGUCGGAAUGAGGACGUCCAAUGCAACGUGUUAGGAGAUUAUUUCAACGCUCUUUGAACUUUAAAGAACCCUUUAAGAAAUAUCAAAAGGUCCCUAUGUAGCAUAUGAUACUCUUUUUCCAGUUGCAGUCUAAAUUUUCCGCUUUCAUCCAAGUUGAACCACUCUGUAGAACUCCACUAUUUAGUCUAUUGAGAACUAUUUCCCACUGAACGUUAUCAAACACUGUUGAUUGACCUAGAUUAAAGACUGGAUCAGGAUGUUAACCUCAGAAAUAAACCCCCUUUUCGCCUUUAAAUAAAUCAAGCGUCUAAAGCACCGGGAGCUCUUAUUUUGAUCACAAUCCACAGGAAUGCAGAAAUUUUGUCCAUGAUCCAAGCUUUGAAUAUUCAUCGUUAUAUAUAAAGUCGUAUGCCAAUAAUUUUUUUACCAGACUUUCGUGAGACUUCGUCAACAUUUUAUACAACUGUCUUAUUUUCCAUUUGGUACAUUCGAAAUUUCAAGAUUAUUAUAGAUAUAUUCUGAAAGAGGAAUUGUCAAUUUUUCCUGCUUUUGUUUUUGUCAAAGGGUCAAAAUCGAAAAAUAAUGAAAAUUAGCGGAAUUUUCUCUAUCUCUCUCUCUAUAUAUAUACAUGGCUGUUCAAGACUGUUUUGAUAUACAAUUAUACAAGUUUUUGUAAAAUUUUGCUUUGACAAUGGUUCAGUUUUUAUACGAAAAGUAAUCUGUUAAAAUUUUGUUUUCAAUUGAAACUGCCUCAUUUCAUUUCGUGAGGGCAUUAAAACAAUGCCAAAAUCUAUCAAACUUGCAGUUUUCGGCACACCUUUAAGUAUUGAUACAAUCUUGGGACAUGUUGGGGGAAAUGGGACAGAGAACCUCCGAUCUGAUGAAAAUUCAGAUCUGAACUCGCGUGCUCGUCGAAGCAUAACGAAAUCAGAGAUCUAUAUUUUAAUUAGAUCAUGGAAGUAUUAGAUUUCCAUGAUUAGAUUGAUCAACCUAAAAAGACUUUUAAAUGAACUAGAAGUGAUAUAAAUUAAAGGAAAAUUUGCUCUACAAAAUUACACAGGAUAACACUACCGUCAUAAACCUAACUACCAGCCAUUGACAUAUAUUUCGUCAAAGAUAUGACAUUACUUUCAAGUCAUAUUUGGAUUUAAUAUUUUUUUUAUCCCAAAGGAGACAAUUCAUUAUAAUUGUAUAACUUUAUCCUAUCGGUUGAAGACAUGACACAACAUACAACGAAUACCAGAGGGUUAAAGGGUUGGGGCUUAUUCAUUCUUAAUUCUUAAUUCUUUAACUUUAUACCAUUUUCUCUAAAUGAUUUAUUUAUUUUGACGAUUAAUCUUGAUGCUUUGCGAUUUAGAACCCCAUUAUUCUUUAUUCUUUUGCCUAUUUUCUCUCUCUGUUCUUUAUUCCCUCUCUAAUUCUUUAUUCUUUUGCUUAUUGUCUCUCUCUCUCUCUCUCUUCUUCUUUCCUUUUCCUAUUUUCUCUCUAUUCUUUAUUCUUUUUCCUAUAUUCUCUCUCUGUUCUUUAUCCAUUUGCCUAUUUCCUCUCUCUAAUUCCUUAUUCUUUUGCCUAUUGUCGCUCUCUCUCUCUUCUUUAUUCUUUUGCCUAUUUUCUCUCUCUGUUCUUUAUUCUUUUGUCUAUUUCCUCUCUCUAAUCCUUUAUUCUUUUGCCUAUUGUCGCUCUCUCUCUUCUUUAUUCUUUUUCCUAUUUUCUCUCUCUAUUCUUUAUUCUUUUGCAUAUUUUCUCUCUCUCUUCUUUAAUCUUUUGCCUGUUGUCUCCCUCUAUUCUUUAUUUUUGGCUCAUUCUCUAUUUUAUAAACACGAUGCAAACCCUUAAACCAUGAACAAAUUUAUUUCUUUUUCUUUUUUUGAUAAAUGACUUUUAAUUGGUUGAAACAAUUCCACACGGGAAAUAAUUCUAGAUAUUUUUCCCUGUUAUGGCUAGAUCGAAAUGACAUCACUAUGUAUUUUCCUGAAAAAUCUUCCUUCUUCUCACAACAAGGAUUUUAGAAUUUCAGGACCAACAGAAAAGGAGUCACCCGAAUGGUAUAAAGGAACAGAUCAUUCUAACACCUGCCUUAUAGAAACAUACAUAUGCUAAGUGUAGAAUUCAACAUUCUGUGGUUAACGUGAAAGGCACCCACUGACAUUGAGUGACGUAUUUAUAAGGCAACCUGUGAUUGAACUUGAAAACUACAAAUUCGCUGAGCUAGGCCUUUAUUCGUUUGUUCGUGUAUCCGUUUUGAAAUUUUUACACAAUGUCAUGAACUAGAAUUGAAAUGCCAAUGGAGUUCAACAUUUGCUAAUUUGACAAUUAUUAUGUGAUAUUAUAAGGAGUCUUCAGGAAAGUACAGAAGUGGUUGAUUGCUAAUUAACUGGUUAAAUACACUCCCGGUUUUGCAUUCGCAAUCCUUCUCUUAUAUGAUAAAUGGUCAUGGGGCGAAGCUGGGAUAGGCAAGCUGGGACGGACGAUCGCAGGACGAUUUAUUUUCAUAGAGGAUAAUUGGAAAUCUAUUGUGGUUAUAUUUAAAUCUUCGAAGUUAACCAUAUCUGCAGUCAAUCUGCUUGUCUAUAACGUCGACUUCCUUCAAGAAUUGACAGCAUGUUGUAUGAGAGACGUUCAGUGACAAAUAUUACAUGUGUAUUAGCAGCUAAAAACAGAAAUAUGACACAAAAAGACACGAUGGAAUAAUUUUAACCCUGAAUUAAUGGAAAGGAGACGUUUUUUAAAUGGACCAAUUGGAAUCAUAGAUUGCCUCUGGCAGUCAUGUUUUUCAUCCAAUAGACACCAAUUGAGAUACAAUCCUAGAUGACCUUCCAUGCGUCAAUCCAUGUUGGCAAUAAAAAUGACAUAACAUUGUGAAAUGUUUAAAAACAAAAGUCAAAGGGAGUUGAUGAGUGAAAGAAAGUCUACAAACUGUCUUCAUUGAAUCGUGAUCGAGUGCAAACAUGGAAGUAUUGGUUGCAUUUGAAACCCUUAAACAUGAUAAGUUCAUCUUCGCUGAAACCACUUGGCUAUUUUAACUAUACUUGUAAGUCAUUAAAGUUGCAUCCAACAGUUGUUUUACGUCACAUAUCUUAAUAUCUUUUUAUACCUUUGCAACUUCUGUCUUAAGUUUUUGUUUAAUUUAAACACAACUUUUGUGAACUUUGGACCAGUAAAAUUGUUGAAGACUGUU